GUAUUUUAAAAGACAAAUGUAUCUUGUAGCUAAUGAGCAUCAGUUAAUGAUCUUGUCUGCAUUGAUUCAACUUAAAACUAUUGUCUAAUCGGUUGUCAGGUAGAAUUUUUGAAAAUUCAUAAACAUUUAAAAAAAUUCUAAUUAAAUAUUUCGUGGAAGGGCAGACUAGAUUUUUUUAAUGGUUGAAGACUAUAAACCUUUAGUUAUCACACACA
rnacentral:lncRNA from 1 species